rnacentral:tRNA from 1 species
GCCAGGGUGGCCGAGUGGUUUAGGCGGCGGGCUGCAGACCCGCUAUACUGGGGUUCGAAUCCCUACCCUGGCUCCA